AUCAUGUUAACAUUUUGGAAAUGGCGUACUCCCACUUUCGCUGUUAACCGGGGUGUGAAGGAAGUUCAGCUAAUGCCACGGUCUUUUCAAUUCUGCUGCACUCAGCUAGUUCAGCGAAGAGUCUGGUUUGGCAAGUUUUAGUGCGAAGAGCUUAAACCGCGGCUGAAAAUUGUACAAAGAUAUUCAGAAAAUACCUGAAGAGAAAUACAGCCGCCGCUGAGCCGCUUAGAAUAUCAAAAAAGUGCCAAACGCAAAUAAGCGGUAAGCCAUACAUUCUUGUUCGUGUUUUUUUUUUGUUAAGCAGAAAAUUGUGAUACGGUAGAAUCAACAUUUUUUUUCUUCUCUCUUUUCCUUUUGUUUUCCGUUUUUGCAAGUGCAGAUUGGCACUUAGUACUUAGUGCAAAUCUUUUACAUUGAAGCUACAAGUUCAUUCACCCUUGAACCAAAGCCGUGCAUUAAAGGGAAUAAAAUCACUCGUUUCGCCGAGUAGAAAAGCACAAACAAAAACUACUGUUUUGUCUACGGCAGUGCCAAAUAAUUAAUAAUUGAUUGCGCUCCCAGCGAUCGGGAAUUCGCCGCUAUUAGGCGCAACUAAAGCCGAGAGAAGCCGCUGCAAUUGGACGAGAAAUAGUUUAAUUCUCAACCCCGAAGCCACCGUCUGGACGGGGAAGCCGCGAUUUUCUAAUCGGGAAAUGUCGGUUAAAUAACCGUUCGUUAAAUUUUUGUAUACAUAUCUCUGGCUUUUUUUUGUCCCACCCUAGCCUAAGUGUAAAAUAAGUUUGGUAGUGUUAAGUGAAACAU
rnacentral:lncRNA from 1 species